rnacentral:sRNA from 1 species
AAGAAAAAGUGUGAUUUUUCAAGGAAUCAAGUGUUUAAAGGUGGUGAGCUAUCUGAUACAGGUAAAAGACUACACCCGAGGACUGAGAAUAAGAGUAUAUCUACUCCUAGUACAGCUCAGAAUAGGCAGUAGACUGUCAAUUGCAUCGAGAAGUAAAUUUCAGAGUUGUAUCCUAGAAAGCAAGGUUAUAGACUUAAACAUUCUCAGUUAUUUGAGGGCCCACGUGUUAUUGUAAUUUAAAUUGCAUACUCCAGUUUUCUAUAUUACAGUAUGUAUAAAUUUAUUUUGUUUUUAU